rnacentral:rRNA from 1 species
UACAGAGGUCUCAAGCGUUGUUCGGAUUCAUUGGGCGUAAAGGGUGCGUAUGUGGCGGGGUAAGUCAGGUGUGAAAUCUCGGGGCUCAACCCCGAAACUGCAUUUGAUACUGCCUUGCUCGAGUACUGGAGAGGAGAUUGGAAUUUACGGUGUAGCAGUGAAAUGCGUAGAUAUCGUAAGGAAGACCAGUGGCGAAGGCGAAUCUCUGGACAGUUACUGACACUGAGGCACGAAGGCCAGGGGAGCAAACGGG